UACAGAGGUCUCAAGCGUUGUUCGGAUUCAUUGGGCGUAAAGGGUGCGUAGGUGGCGCCGUAAGUCAGGUGUGAAAUUUCGGAGCUUAACUCCGAAACUGCAUUUGAUACUGCGAUGCUUGAGGACUGGAGAGGAGACUGGAAUUUACGGUGUAGCAGUGAAAUGCGUAGAGAUCGUAAGGAAGACCAGUGGCGAAGGCGGGUCUCUGGACAGUUCCUGACACUGAGGCACGAAGGCCAGGGGAGCAAACGGG
rnacentral:rRNA from 1 species